AUUGAACGCUGGCGGCAGGCCUAACACAUGCAAGUCGAGCGGAAGAAGGGAGCUUGCUCCUGGAUUCAGCGGCGGACGGGUGAGUAAUGCCUAGGAAUCUGCCUGGUAGUGGGGGAUAACGUCCGGAAACGGGCGCUAAUACCGCAUACGUCCUGAGGGAGAAAGUGGGGGAUCUUCGGACCUCACGCUAUCAGAUGAGCCUAGGUCGGAUUAGCUAGUUGGUGGGGUAAAGGCCUACCAAGGCGACGAUCCGUAACUGGUCUGAGAGGAUGAUCAGUCACACUGGAACUGAGACACGGUCCAGACUCCUACGGGAGGCAGCAGUGGGGAAUAUUGGACAAUGGGCGAGAGCCUGCUCCAGCCAUGCAGCGUGUGUGAAGAGGGUAUUCGGAUUUUAAAGCACUUUAAGUUGGGAGGAAGGGCAGUAAGUUCAUACCUUGCUGUUUUGACGUUACCAACAGAAUAAGCACCGGCUAACUUCGUG
rnacentral:rRNA from 1 species